UAAAACAUUUAGGCACACAAUUCAAUCCUACCUUUUGGCUUCAAAUGAUAGUUUUGCAAAAGCUAUGUGGGUGGCAAAGCUAGUUAUUGAUGAAACUCAAGUUGAACAGAAGCAGUUAGUUCUAAGCAACUUUACAGACCAACAUGUGUAGAAGACUAGUUCAGUUGACACGAUAAAAGGGAAAGAGCCAAAGGUAGUGAAUCAAUUUAGAAAUAAAUUUGAAAUUCUUACAAUUUUACACU
rnacentral:lncRNA from 1 species